ACCUGAUCAGCCAUGCCGCGUGUGUGAAGAAGGCCUUAUGGUUGUAAAGCACUUUAAGCGAGGAGGAGGCUACUGAGACUAAUACUCUUGGAUAGUGGACGUUACUCGCAGAAUAAGCACCGGCUAACUCUGUGCCAGCAGCCGCGGUAAUACAGAGGGUGCGAGCGUUAAUCGGAUUUACUGGGCGUAAAGCGUGCGUAGGCGGCUUUUUAAGUCGGAUGUGAAAUCCCCGAGCUUAACUUGGGAAUUGCAUUCGAUACUGGGAAGCUAGAGUAUGGGAGAGGAUGGUAGAAUUCCAGGUGUAGCGGUGAAAUGCGUAGAGAUCUGGAGGAAUACCGAUGGCGAAGGCAGCCAUCUGGCCUAAUACUGACGCUGAGGUACGAAAGCAUGGGGAGCAAACAGGAUUAGAACCCUGGUAGA
rnacentral:rRNA from 1 species